UACGUAGGGAGCAAGCGUUGUCCGGAAUCAUUGGGCGUAAAGCGCGCGUAGGUGGCCCUGUAAGUCCGUUGUGAAAGUCAAAGGCUCAACCUUUGAAAGCCGAUGGAUACUGCAGGGCUAGAGUACGGAAGAGGCGAGUGGAAUUCCUGGUGUAGCGGUGGAAUGCGCAGAUAUCAGGAGGAACACCGGUGGCGAAGGCGGGUCUCUGGGCAACAACUGACGCUGAGGAGCGAAAGCGUGGGGAGCGAACAGG
rnacentral:rRNA from 1 species